rnacentral:rRNA from 1 species
AACGAACGCUGGCGGCAGGCUUAACACAUGCAAGUCGAGCGCCCCGCAAGGGGAGCGGCAGACGGGUGAGUAACGCGUGGGAAUCUACCGUGCCCUACGGAAUAGCUCCGGGAAACUGGAAUUAAUACCGUAUACGCCCUACGGGGGAAAGAUUUAUCGGGGUAUGAUGAGCCCGCGUUGGAUUAGCUAGUUGGUGGGGUAAAGGCCUACCAAGGCGACGAUCCAUAGCUGGUCGGAGAGGAUGAUCAGCCACAUUGGGACUGAGAAACGGCACAAACUCCUACGGGAGGCAGCAGUGGGGAAUAUUGGACAAUGGGCGCAAGCCUGAUCCAGCCAUGCCGCGUGAGUGAUGAAGGUCUUAGGAUUGUAAAGCUCUUUCACCGGUGAAGCUAAUGACGGUAACCGGAGAAGAAGCCCCGGCUAACUUCGUGCCAGCAGCCGCCGUAA